GAUAAACGCUGGCGGCGUGCCUAACACAUGCAAGUCGAACGCCCUUACGCAAGUAAGGGAGUGGCGGACGGGUAAGGAACACGUGGGUGAUCUGCCUUGAGGUGAGGAAUACCGGCGAGAAAUCGCCGACAAUACCGCAUACGUUCGCAAGAACAAAGUCGCAAGACGCCUUGAGAUGAGCCUGCGUCCGAUUAGCUAGUUGGUGGGGUAAAAGCCUACCAAGGCAGCGANCGGUAGCUGGUCUGAGAGGACGAUCAGCCACACUGGGAUUGAGAACGGCCCAGACUCCGUACGGGGGC
rnacentral:rRNA from 1 species